GCCAUCCUUUGUUCUGGGCUUCUUCCUGCUUCUUCCUUGUGGUAGUUUGAAGCCUACAGCCUGCUGUUUUGCUCCUAUAUUCUUGGCUGGUAUCUUUGUUUGGCAAUCCAGGUGAGCCUGGAAGAUUUUCCUAUAACAGUCAUGUACUCUGAAAACAUUGAAGAGAAAUCCUCAGCUAUCAGGAGAACAUUCCCCAAUAUUUUGUGUGGAAGACCAUUCUAUCACUUGAGCCUCACUAGAAUUUGAAGUACUAAAACCCAGAUAUGGAUUUAUCAUCUCAGUGAGAAUUAGGCCAGAGAGAUGGGUGGAAAGUGUCAGUCAAGAGAAAGAGAUGUCAAUCUCUUGCAGCAAAACCAGCAAAACUUAUGCGGCAACUUAGAGUUGCCAAGGGAUUUGUAGUGCAGUAGGUAACCCUUGGGGGGGGGGCAGAGUCCGAAUAUUAACUACAGGCCUCUAGUCAUUAUAGAGUGAUAUUAAAAAACCAAAAUCCUAUAUAAAGUGGUCAAGACAUGGUUUUGGGGGGUCCCAGAUUCUAAAAUAUGUACAAAGUGCAGCAGAAAUGAUACAGUAAUCAGUGCAGGUGUAAACCUGUUUGAAAUGGAUUGAAAUUUUCUUUCCCCAUCAUCUAUAAGGUUCAUCCUUACAACCACCAAAAAUCAAUGAGAAUUACAGAUGAAUGAGAAGAUGAAAAUCUGUUCCAAUGAGUCACCUUCCUGUUACACAUUUCUUGCUGGCGGCAGAAGCUAUGUGAGAGCUAUCUUCUCUUCUAGUAGCAUGUACUUGAAUGAAGCCCAAUUAUGAACUAAACCAAGCUAUACCCUUUGAAUAAAGUCCCACCAUGAUAAACCAAAA